rnacentral:lncRNA from 1 species
AUCCGGAGCCGGGCGGCUCGCCCAGGAUACGGAGCCCGGCGGUCACGGGGGAGAAGGUAGCUGUCGGGCAUUCCCCUGGCGCUGAAGGGCAGAUUGCUGACGAGCCUGGGAAUCUAAGCACAGUGGGCUGAACAUCUGCUGGGACAAGGAUGGGGCCAGAGACAGAUCACUCUGACUCACCACCCUGCCACCAAACUAAUGUUUGAAAGCUCUAAAUUUAUUCAGCUUAUACUGAAAGGAAAUGAAGUCUAUGUCCAAAUAGGAAACAAUGUGGAGUACUGCUGUGCUGUGCCUUCAUUACCUGAGACUACAGCAGCCUGCAUUCUCCACCGGGCUCGGAGGAGUGCAGAUGCCUGAGCUAUGCAGUGUGAUUCAACAAUUCCAGUUGGACGGAAAAUACAGCUGUCUUUUUUACGGAGUUGAAGUCAAAUCUACGUGCAGCUUUUUUUACCUACAAAUAAUGGACAAGCUCCUGAAUCCAACAUAUUCUAGCUGAAACGGAUCCCAGGACGGAAUGCUGGAGAGAUGCGUAUUCCAGCUACAGGCCCUCAGAGCUCAGUGAAACGAAGUCUCAGUAUGUUGCCCAAGCUGGUCUUGAACUCCCGGUCUUAAGCGAUCUCCUUGCCUCAGCCUCCCGAGUACUUCUCAGUUUUCUAUACAAAUCUCUCAUCUAUCCCUAACCUCUCAGUGGAGAAACUCCAAGAUGAACCCCAAAGAUCUCCAUCUCCAGCUGUUCACACUCCUAUGUAAUCUCUAGCCCUUGGGUGUGGAAAGGACUUGUGACUUACUUUAACCAACAACAGAAUAUAGCAAAGAUGCCUAAGAACUGCAAAUGAGAAAUAAUUUUCUCACCUGGUCACAGCAUCUACCAAGAAUGGCGCUGGGGGAGAGAUCAGUGAGAUUCCAUCUUUAUUACCAUGUCCCUCCUUCCCUGUCAAAAGCAUUUCACAUCCCGCAAGUCCAUUAGACAUGGCACCACUCUGCUGUGGGAGAUACACACACAACUAAAUACAGGGUAACAAUACCUGCCUGGUCAGCACUUCAGCUCCAAAUCAAGCUUCACUAAUGACUAUGAGAUUAACGAAGAUGGUUUUGAUAAUUAUGACUGUUUGUUUUGUUUUUCUUAACUAUUCUUCAUCUGAGACUUUUACUUUUGUUUCUGCCAGCAUCCUGACAAACAUUUACAACCAGAAAGGGUAAGCCACUAGCUUGAAGCCAUUAAGUUAAGUUCAGUUAACAAGGCUUUGAUAACAACCCUCAUGUUUUUAAGGAAAAACAAAGAACCUAGUAAUCCUUUAGGCCUUACCCUGAAAGGGUAGCCAGAAGAAAAAUCACAAAUAACAUGAACUUACCGGAACAAUCCACCGGGGUGUGAUCAUGGAUGUGGAAGACACCUGAAAUAAUUUUAUAUGUAUGUAUUUACUUUUUGGAAAGACUGACUUAUUUUCAUACUUAUAAUACUUACUUACAUCUAUUAUGAAAUCCAUUCUAGGAGGGCAAUUCUUAAUUCUUAAUGGUGUUCCUUGAGCUGACAUGGACUUCUAAAUCCAAGACCCUUUUCUGUUAUACAACACAGAUGCUAUCCCUCACCACUUAAGAAAGUGUCAUAAUUUUGAGAAUCUCUUAUCUAAAAAUUUACCAUUCAAGAAUCUAUUACUACUUUCAGUUCACUUAAUAGGACUGCCCCUACCUCACACCCAGUAUUCAGUUUAACAUUUUAUUUUCUGAAAUUUCAGUUAAUUAAUUACAAAUAAUGAUAGCCUUCUUGGUAGCAGCCUGAACAAUGGAUUGUGACUAAUCCAAAUAAAGAGCAACAAGAAAGUACACAGAAAAAUAAUCUGUUUAGAUACAGAUCAUUCUCUAAUUAUCAUGUAUGCAUGAAGAAAGCGCAAUAAAAACACCCAUAUUGCUCCUGGUUCACAGGGCCUUUGAUACAUUAUUUUUAUAUGUUUAACUUUCUAUUAUAGGUCAUCUAUGUGUAGAAUUAUAAACUAAGGAAACCCACCCAUUUUACUAGUAAUUUAGACUAGUCCUUGCAUUGGUGGCCUUACAUACUCAUAAGAAAAAACUAAUGUAAGUCCAGGUAUUAGUAAAUUAGAUAACCACCAAAAGAAUAAAAACACAGGCUGGGCGCAGUGGCGCACGCCUGUAACCCCAGCAUUUUGAGAGGGCGAGGUGGGCAGAUCAUGAGGUCAAGAGAUCAAGACCAUCCUGGCCAACAUGGUGAAACCCUGCCUCUACUAAAAAUACAAAAAUUAGCUGGGCAUGGUGGCAUGCGCCUGUACUCCCAGCUACUCGGGAGGCCAAGGCAGGAGAAUCGCUUGGAGGCGGAGGUUGCAGUGAGCUGAGAUCACGCUACUCCUGGCAAAAAAGCAAGACUCCAUCUCAAAAAAAAAAAACCCACAAAAUCUGACUUUCCUACCAAUACUUUUUAGAUGCAUGUUAACAGCAGGAAAUAAGAGAGAAAAAAUAUCAUAAAUAAUAGUAAACAAAAAAUAGUUUGACAGACUUUUCCACACUUGCAGUUAAUUCUUAUCCUUGGUAAAGUCUUUGUUUAUUAAUCUAAGCUGGUCAUUCCCAACGGGUGGUUCCCAGACCACAUCUGCACCACCUGGGAACAUGUUAGAAACACAACUUUUCAGACCCCACCCAAGAUAUACCAAAAUUAGAAACUUGGAGGUGGGGCCCAGCAAUCUUGUGUGUUAACGUCCCCUCCAAGGGAUUCUGAUAUACACAAAAAUUUGAGAAUUAAUGAUCUAUGCAAACAUUCAGUAUCAUGUGUAUUUCCAAGCCUUCAGGAUGGCAUCUAGCCCCUACAGCAAUUCUCGUCAUAUCACUCAUAAGGUACAAAGUUAGUCAUUUCUGUUUUUUUUUUUUUUUUUUUUUUUUUUUGAGACGGAGUCUCACUGUGUCGCCCAGACUGGAGUGCAAUGGUGCUAUCUCGGCUCACUGCACGCUCCAUCUCCCAGGUUCCAGCAAUUGUCUUGCCUCAGCCUCCCGAGUAGCUGGCGCUACAGGUGUGCACCACCACCCCCGGCUAAUUUUUGUAUUUUCAGUAGAGACAGGGUUUCACCAUGUUGGCCAGGCUGGUCUUGAACUCCUGACCUCAAGUGAUCUGCCCACCUCGGCCUCCCAAAGUGCUGGGAUUACAGGCGUGAGCCACCGUGUCCAGCAAAGUUAGUCAUUUCUAUCUCUCUCAUCCCUGGAGGGAAGGAACUGUUUCAGUUGGCCCUCCAUAUCCAUGAGUUGUGCAUCUGUGGAUUCAACAACUGUAAAUCGAAAAUAUUUGGAGGGAAAAAAAGGAUGGUUGUGUCUGUACUGAACAUGUGCAGGCUUUUAUUCUUGUCAUUAUUUCCUAAACAAUACAAUAUAACAACUGUUUACCAGCAUUUACACUGCAUUAGAUAUUAGAGGUAAGCUAGAUUAUUUAAAAUAUACUAGAGGAUAUGUGUAGGUUAUAUGCAAACACUACACCAUUUUAUAUGAGAUUUAAGCAUGCAUGGAUUUUGGUAUCCAAGGGGAGUCCUGGAACCAAUCCCCCACAGAUACUGAGGGACAACUAUACUUAAUACAGUAUCUUCCAGACUGUAAUAAUGAUUGAUAUGUUCAAUGCCAUUCUUACGCUCUCAUCUUUCUAUAAAACUUUUUAAAAAAUUAAAUAUAUCCUUAUUGUCUCAAGAAACUGCUUUAUCCCCAUGUUUUCUCUCAUUUAAUAUGAUGUUGAAUUAUAAAAGGCUUAUAGAGACAUGUGAUUUGUAGACAGUGAUACACAAAUUCAAAGUGGUAAAAUUUUAGGACAGAGAGGCAAUGCUAAGUGGUUAUUAAAACAUAAACUCUUAUCAAAUGAAAAGUUUAACUGAAUUAUUAAAAAGGAAAAAACUGGAAUCUAGCAGGAACAUUUUUCAAAACAGAAAUUUCUUUCCAUCAUACUAUUUUAAAGCAUAUUUACCUGAGGUGCAACUGUGUGAUCAAUUAGAUUCUCAGUUAGAGAUGCAAGCAAGGCAUCCAAUUCAUCUGUAGCUUCCUAUGGAAGACAGGAAUCUAGAAUUGUUAAAUGACCCCUUUAUCAUCAGAUGUUAAGUUUUUUCCAUAUCCUCUCAAUUUAUAAUUCUGACACAGGCCUGAUUAGUGUUAAUCCUUUAAAUACACAGGGACACUCAUAAAUCAUGGUUGUUAAUGAUUCCACUUCUGCAUGGAGGGAAACCUAUACUACAAUCAGGAUGUGAAAAAGCUGAAGUGCUAUGUAAAUUUUCAAAUAGCUAUUCUCCUUUGGUAAGACAAAACUUGGGUAGGGUUAUGACUAUUCUGGCUCUUAACUUUUUCUUUUUAAUUACAAAAAAAUUAUUUUGGCUGGAUGCAGUGGCUCACACCUGUAAUCCUAGCGCUCUGAGAGGCCAAGGCGGGAGGAUCCCUUGAGCCCAGGAGUUUGAGACCAGCCUGGGCAAUAUAGUGAGACCUCAUCUUUACAAAAACUGAGCUAAGCUGGGCACAGUAGCACUCAGCUGUAGUCCCAGCUACUCAGGAGGCUGAGGUGGGAAGAUCACUUGAGCCCAGGAGACAGAGGCUGCAGUGAGCCAAGAUUACACCACCGUACUCCAGCCUGGAUGACAGAGUGAGAUUCUGCCUCAAAACAAAUUUUAAAAAAGUAAAUACAGCCGGGCACUCCUGGCUAACACGGUGAAACUCCGUCUCUACUAAAAAUACACAAAAUUAGCUGGGCGUGGUUGCGGGCACCUAUAGUCCCAGCUACUCGAGAGGCUGAGGCAGGAGAAUGGCAUGAACCCGGGAGGUGGAGGUUGCAGUGAGCCGAGAUCGCGCCACUG